AGGACAGACUCUAGAAUCACCUAGGAGACAAGUCUCUGGGCAUGCCUAGGAAAAGCUUUGAAGAUUUGGAUUAAUAGGGGUGGACCCUGACCAUGGGCGGCACAAUUCCAUAGGCUCAGAUCCCAGACAAUGAAAGAGAGCAAGCUGAGCAGUGUUCUCUCUGUUACUGGACUGCAGAUGAAAUGUGACCGGCCACCUAAAGCUUCUCUCGCCCUGCCUCUGCUGCCACUGUGGGCUCUCUUCUCAAACUGAGCCAAAACAAACCACUUCUUCCUUCCUUAAGUUAUGUUCAUUGGCUAUUUCAUUACAAAAAUGAGAAAAGUAACUACUAUCCCUGCCCGCUGAUAUUCAGCACAAAGCAGCCUCAGAGACACUGACCAGACAGCUCAGCUCAGAUGGAGGAUGCGCUUGUGCCUUUACAUGUGGCAGAAUUGAGCCAUGUGGUAUAGGGGAAGGUAGUGGUUCUAAUUGGUUUUUGAUUGUGUCAAUAAAGGAAGCAGAAGCUAAUUAUUGGGCGAAGGAAAAAAGAUGGGAUAUACGGGUUGCCAAAGGAAAAGGGGAGGCAGGGAGAAAGAGGAUUUGGACCAGGUUGUGGAGCUGGUAGGAAGCUACAUACGUGUAGGGCUCAGGCACCUAAUAGUGUGUAGCCUCUGCUGGGAACAGAGGCCAAGGAAGAUGGAAGGAGCUAGUUGCUAAGAUUAGGGUAGGAAAUUCUUUGCCCAGCCAUUGGGUUAUCUGGCUAUUAUUUAAAAUAAUAAAACUGUCUAGUGUUUUCCAUUCGUGGCAAUAAGGUGGGCAGGAGGAGAAAGUGGGUGGCCAGGGUGGUUAUUGGUAGCUUGGCCAAGCUAGUCAUGAGAGGCCGCUGGAGUGUGGACAGCAGCUCCUGGAUUCCGCAGGUUGGGGGAUAGUUGCGAUCGAGUUGGAGAUAGGGGAACCGGGAGAGGUCACAGCAAGGGCCAUGGCACCAGGCAAAGAGAUAGUGUGAUUUUAAAACUAUACACAACAAUGUGGCCUCCUCCCUAAGGAUUAUGGAACAUGUGCUCCAAUUCCCCAUUCUGGAUUCCAUUUCCAGAAUCUUCCUAAUUGCUUGUUGAAGCCACCACUGCCAAAUACGGCUGUCACUUCUGCCUCUUUCUUCCCUCAGCUUCACCGAAGCACUUGACACAGCUGACCUGCCUCUUCCUUCAUGCUCCAGUCCUGUGACAUCAACCUUGACUGAUUGGCUUUCUCACACACUCUUCGACCUCUUCAGCUGCUUCUUCCUCCAAGUAAGUACUUAAUAUUGAAGUUCAAACUCAGUUCUAGGUCUUUCCUACUGGGACUCUGAACGCAACAUCUACAAAUCCUGACGUCAACGGUGUCAUACUGAUAGAAUCCAGUUGUUUCCGUGACAGCUUCAUUUCAAUAUCUAAUCCAAAUACCUCGUGACCAGAAGACAACUUCAUCUUUUGCUGUAUACUUUUUCCCCCAAGUGCAACCAACGAAAACCCAACAUUCACCCAAGUGUUGGAACUCAAAAUGGAAGGACGCCUGGGCUGACAAUGCUCCCUCCACGGGCCAAAGACCAUCUAGCAAAGACCCAAUACCAGGCAUGAGAAGCCUUCUGUUGAGGUGUUGGUUAUGGCUAUCCAACAAGAGACUACCCAAACAUUAUAGGGUAUUGCUGUUGCUCUUGAUUUCCCUCCAUAGGUGGAAGGCAAGACCCUAUGCUCACGACACCAAGCCCUUCUGACACAGUUCCCAGACCUGAAUGUUCCUUCCCUGAGAACUAGCUCUCAUGGUACCUGAAGGUGCCAUGCAAGAUUCCAAAGAGGGAAACAACCAACAGCCUUACCCAGCUAUGACAACUACCAACAAUAACGACCAGCAUGGAGUGAUAACCCUGAAGGUGCAGUAGUGGCAUAUAUAUCUUGGCAGUAGCCAUUAGCUCUCUAAUUAGACUUAGAGCCAAUCAACAAGAGGGAAGCCAUGCCUGAUGCUGGAAACCUGAUGGCCAACUACCGCCAGUAGAUACCACAAGUCAUAGAUCUUGGAGAAUAACCUUCAAUACCCACUUUACUAAAACAACAUAAGCCCUAACUAUACUGUAAAUAUUUGUCCUCAUACCCACAGAUAAAUGUAGCCUUCAUCCUUCAUCAAGAAAGUGUCUUCUUUCAACAGACAGAGACUAUUACAGAAUACCACAACCAAUCAAAUGCAGAGUUGCAGAACCAAGUCCCAAUGGAUGCAUCCACAAAACAACUCCUGAACCCAAGGCUUAGGAACACAGCCGAAAGGGGUCAGAAAGACUGUAAGAGCCAAAAGAUCAUGACUGUGCUAUAAGAAGCUACACCCAGAAAGUCUCACCAACAUGACCACAUAGACAUGCUCUGAAUAAGAACAACAAUGAACAUUACAAAGUAGAUGAUGGAAAGCCCAUGAGGUCUCAACUCUACACAAAGAACUAUAAGCAACUAAGAAAUACUGAGAGUGGGAGAAAGUCUCCCCCAGGGAAGAGCUCACCAGUUGUUCAUCCAAUACCAAAUGGUCAGCCUGGAAAUAUACUUAAACAUAACCCUAUACAGGCUGAGCAGGUUACAUUUAGGACUAUAUAUGAAUUAUGUAUUAUGCACAUAAAUAUAUGAAUAUAACAGCAGUUAAAAGAGCCCAUGAGAGAUGGAUAUAGACUGGUUUGAGGAAGAAAAGGAAGGGGGAAAUGAUAUCAUUAUAUCUCAAAAUAAUGUUUUAGAAUAUAAGGACUCAUCUGUAGUCAGCCUUGCUCCCAAACCCCACACCAAUACAUCAAGCACAAACCUAUUCAACUCUGCGUCGUUACAGCUGCCUCCCAACCCAAGACUCGUGAGCUGAGCUUCUGAAAUCACCUCAUGAGCUCUUUGCAGCCCCACCCAUCCAAAACCCUUCAGAGUGUAGCUACUUCCUGUGGUUGGUUUGUCACUUCCUUGGAGAGGGCUUCCUGCAUCCAGCCAUCCUCCUCUGCUGACCUGUUGGACUAGCCCCCUCACUUUACAGCAUUUUAAAUUCUCUUAUUAAUUAAUUGAUCUUUUUCUGCCAUGGCCCAGCGGAAUAUAAACUAGAAGAGUGAGAUUUUUGUGUCCCUCAACGCCUACCACAGAAUCUGGAAUUCGGAAAUACACAGUGAUUAAAACUCACAUGUAGGCAUAGCUAGAAAAGUGCCUUUAUUCCUACAGAAAACAUGGUUUAUAGGGAGGAAGAAGGCACAGAGCUGACUGGAGGGAAAAAAAAAAACAAACAAAUCUGCUUAUGCUAGAUGGCUGGACCUAAGGACUUCACUGAGGACAAAACCAACAUGCCCUAGGCUCAGCAGAUGGCACAUUCACAGGCACCGUCCACUCAGGUUGUCACAAAGUCCCUCGUAGUGUGUGUGUGUGUGUGUGUGUGUGUGUGUGUGUGUGUGUGUGUGUGUGUGUGUAGAGAUCAGAGGACAGCUCAUGGAAGUAGGUUUCUCUCCUUCCACCAUGUGAGUCCUGGGUUUAAACUCACAACAGGCUUGGCAGCAAGCACCUUUACCCACUGCUCCAUCCUCAUAGUCUCACAUGUUACAAUGCCUGUGUGCCUCUAGAAACAGUGUGUCAAAUCAUCUCCUGUUUUUUUUGGUUGGUUGGUUGGUUGGUUUUUCAAGACAGGGUUUCUCUGUACAGCCCUGGCUGACCUGGAACUCACUUUGUAGACCAGACUGACCUCGAACUCAGAAAUCCACCUGCCUCUGCCUCCCAAGUGCUGUAAACACCAUUGUGUCACAGGCCCUGGAAGUUGCUAUUUUGUUCUUGAGGCUGUGCCCAUUGAUAAACGCAAGGUUGGUUCGUUCACAGUGACGUCUCAGAUGCCACGAUUCAUUUCUCUUUCCCGGUGGCUGCUUUUCUCUCUAUGGUUUUCACUGUCAUGGCACUGAAGGGCUUGGGGGACACAGCCUCCUCAUUUCCCCCCAGUGCCUUGCUGUCUUUGAUAACACUACUAGCAUCUCUGGUGAGCUGGCCUGCGGACGGGAGCCACUAGGCAGCAGCCUUACUAGACACUACCAAUUUGCUCUCUGAAAGUGCUUGCACCAAUUUACACUCCAGUUCGGCAACCGCCCCGCAGUGCCAGGCUGCUGCCGCCGCGUUCUGCUCUCAAUUCCUUAUAAUUUAUGAAAGGAAAAUAUAAAAGAGGCGCUAUUACCUUAUUAAAAACUCCAGCUUCCUUUCCCCCUGCAGAAAGGAGAGGAGAGAGAAGGGUGAUUGCAUAUUGGAUUAGGGCCUGGCACGCAUUCAUCAACUUUAUAGUAGCGCCGGCUUGGAAUUCGGGUCUCCUGAGGGGAGAGUAGGGCCACUGGAAACAAGAGACACUUUCACCGCAGCCUUCUCCAGGAACGCAGGUAUAAUUUACUCCAAGGUAC
rnacentral:lncRNA from 1 species